rnacentral:lncRNA from 7 species
UGCUCAGAGACAUGGGAUACCACCAAGAAGGGGUGAUUGUGCGUCCUUCCUGCUCUGACAGACUGCGGUUUGCUGUUACAGAGUUGGGGUCCUGGUGUGGAUGUUCUAUGGUGGCAAUUACUUCUGCUGUGAGUGGAACAUGAGUAUGUAUCAACACGAGGUCCUCCGUCUGCUCCUCCAGCUGAUGCCUUCUGUGACUCAGGGCAUCUCCACCUGAACGCCCACUGAUCGCUGCAGUUCCUGGUAGUGAUGCAGUGCUGUGGAGCAACGCACCCAUUGCAUCACGUUCUGAGGUGGCCCCACGAGAGAUGAUGCAAGCAGUGUAAGCCCUGAGGAGCCUUCUGCCUCUUCAUCAUAGUCCACAUGCUGCUCUCCUGCAGCUCCCGACACCCCAGCUGGUCAGUUUUCUCUGCAAACAUUCAGGUUGGGGUCAGCUUCAGAAUAUAGGCAUUUCUUUCUGCUGUGAAAGGGAGAACAAAUAUCUCUACAUUGACAACGAGUAUGCUGCAGGGUUUGUAUUGCAGCGAGGAAUGCACUUGGCUUUGGAAAAGCCAUCUCCUGCCUUGGCACUGCCCAAGGGGAAGAGUGGCCCUGCCCCAUCGUCCGACUUAUCCAGAAAAUUAUUACAGGGCUUUAAUUGUGAGCUUGUAACUGCUCCUGUUUCCCAUCAGAGUGGUGACACAUUGGCACAGGCUGCCCAGGGAGAUGAGAGAGCCACUGUCCCUGGAGGUGUCCCAGAACUGUAGAGAUGUGGCAUUGCUGGACAUGGCUAGUGGGCAAUAUUGGUGGUAGGUGGACAGUUGGACUUGAUGGUCUUAGAGGUCAUUUUCAACCUCAAUGAUUCUAUGAAAUAUUUUUGAUACGUAUGUUGGCUAAAAUGAAAUCUAUAUGAAGCCUAUAAACCCCAUUUGGGUUUGUUUUGAUUUUUUUUUUUUUCACCCUGUAAACUGAAAUCUGAAGAUACGUAGAGGAGAAGUCACAAGUGGAGGGUUUGGGCUCAGGCUGACUUGGAGGACUGCACAUGAGCGCAGUGAAAGGCAGAUUGCCGUGCGUGGCACCCACAGCUCACCCAAAGGCACAUCUUCAGCAGGAGCUGGCAGACCGCUUUCUGCACUACCCUCAGACCUUCCAGCACAUGACCCAGAGCUGCCCCGUGUGCCGCUGCUCUUUUGGGAACACAUCUGCGCUCUCUUUUCCUGAUAUUUUUAGCUCAGCUCCCUUAAGAAACAACGAGCGAUGCCACCUCCCUCCUCUCCGGGUUCUUGGAUAGCAACGGCGCAGAGGAGUUUUCUGUGGUUCAGAUGUGUUUCAAACAUGGGACAACUGCCAGAAUUUCAUUAAGCGAACAACAUGUGAAUAUAACCACACAGAGCUCUGCUUAUAGACAUAUAGCGUGGAGCGCCUUUGCAUGAAAGCAGAUGUUAUGGAAACAGCCCAAGUCAAAUAAGCAAGGGAAGAUUACCUUCGUAAUGAGCUAAAAAUUAGUUCCGUGCCCUCUUCAAGGGAUGGCAAAAGGGCACCCAUGUUUUCAUACAAUAAACCAAGCAGCAGCAGCGCAGGUACCGGCAGGUGCCAAGGGUUUGCUGUUUCAGUACCCAUCCAUAUGCACUUUAAGGACAAAUUCAGACACAAGCCCAAAUAUAUCCAAGUGAAUCUGAAUGGAUAUAAAUUACUUCUCCCGGCGUACGAAUCGGACUGAAUAAAAAUUUCUCAGAUU